rnacentral:piRNA from 1 species
UUCAAGGUGUUCUCCCUGUGGCUCCUGGC